GACGAACGCUGGCGGCGUGCUUAACACAUGCAAGUCGAACGGAAAGGCCCUGCUUUUGUGGGGUGCUCGAGUGGCGAACGGGUGAGUAACACGUGAGUAACCUGCCCUUGACUUUGGGAUAACUUCAGGAAACUGGGGCUAAUACCGGAUAGGAGCUCCUGCUGCAUGGUGGGGGUUGGAAAGUUUCGGCGGUUGGGGAUGGACUCGCGGCUUAUCAGCUUGUUGGUGGGGUAGUGGCUUACCAAGGCUUUGACGGGUAGCCGGCCUGAGAGGUUGACCGGCCACAUUGGGACUGUGAUACGGCCCAGACUCCUACUGGAGGCAGCAGUGGGGAAUAUUGCACAAUGGGCGGAAGCCUUAUGCAGCAACGCCGCGUGCGGGAUGACGGCCUUCGGGUUGUAAACCGCUUUCGCCUGUGACGAAGCGUGAGUGACGGUAAUGGGUAAAGAAGCACCGGCUAACUACGUG
rnacentral:rRNA from 1 species